rnacentral:rRNA from 1 species
UACGUAGGUGACAAGCGUUGUCCGGAUUUACUGGGCGUAAAGAGCGCGCAGGCGGUCGAUCAAGUCGAGUGUGAAAGCCCCCGGCUCAACUGGGGAGGGUCAUUCGAUACUGAUCGGCUCGAAGGCAGGAGAGGGUAGUGGAAUUCCCGGUGUAGUGGUGAAAUGCGUAGAUAUCGGGAGGAACACCAGUGGCGAAGGCGACUACCUGGCCUGUUCUUGACGCUGAGGCGCGAAAGCUAGGGGAGCGAACGGG